rnacentral:rRNA from 1 species
CGUCUAUAUACGUAUAGCAUAUCAAUAAGCGGAGGAAAAGGAACUAACAAGGAUUCCCUUAGUAACGGCGAGUGAAGCGGGAAGAGCUCAAAUUUGAAAUCUUCAAGGUUCUACCUUGACGAAUUGUAGUUUAAAGAAGUGUUUUCUGUUAGAGGAGUAGCAAAAGUUCCUUGGAAUGGGACAUCAUAGAGGGUGAGAAUCCCGUAUUUGGUUACUUUUUCUAGCUUUGUGAUACACUUUCAAAGAGUCGGAUUGUUUGGGAAUGCAGUCCAAAAUGGGUGGUAAAUUUCAUCUAAAGCUAAAUAUUGGCGAGAGACCGAUAGCGAACAAGUACCGUGAGGGAAAGAUGAAAAGAACUUUGAAAAGAGAGUUAAACAGUACGUGAAAUUGUCAAAAGGGAAGCGUUUGACACCAGUGUUGUUUUUCCGAAAAUCAAUUAAGAGUGGCUUGAUUUUGUGUUGUAUUGGACCUUAUCAGCUUUCUUCACUCUUUUUCGAGUCUUUCUUAAUGCACUUUUCGGUUAACAAGUCAACAUCAAUUUCUUUUGUUGUAAAAGGGUAUUUGGAAGGUGGCUUUCUUUUCGGAGAAAGUGUUUAUAGCCUUAUACCUCUACAAUCGGAGAGAUUGAGGUCUGCAGCGUAGAUCCUUCGGGGCUAGAUACACUUGUGCUAAGUUAUAGCUUUUCAUAGACAACUUGUUGACUAUGUUUAGUCAUGUAGCUUACCCGCUUGUGCUAUUUUACCUACGCUUAGGAUGUUGAGUCAUCACACAUCUCU